CCUACGGGAGGCAGCAGUGAGGAAUAUUGGUCAAUGGGCGCAAGCCUGAACCAGCCAAGUCGCGUGAGGGAUGACGGUCCUAUGGAUUGUAAACCUCUUUUGUCGGGGAGCAAGGCCCGCCACGUGUGGCGGGACGGAGAGUACCCGAAGAAAAAGCAUCGGCUAACUCCGUGCCAGCAGCCGCGGUAAUACGGAGGGUGCAAGCGUUGUCCGGAAUCAUUGGGCGUAAAGUGUUCGUAGGCGGCAUGUAAAGUCAGGUGUUAAAGGCGCAGGCUCAACCUGUGUAUGGCACUUGAUACUUGCAAGCUGGAAUGCGGUAGAGGUAAAGGGAAUUACUGGUGGAGCGGUGAAAUGCUUAGAUAUCAGGAGGAACAUCGGUGGCGUAAGCGCUUUACUGGGCCGUAAUUGACGCUGAGGAACGAAAGCCAGGGUAGCAAAUGGGAUUAGAUACCCGAGUAGUC
rnacentral:rRNA from 1 species